GAUGAACGCUGGCGGCGUGCUUAACACAUGCAAGUCGAACGGAAAGGCUCCUGCUUGCAGGGGUACUCGAGUGGCGAACGGGUGAGUAACACGUGGGUGAUCUGCCCUGCACUUCGGGAUAAGCCUGGGAAACUGGGUCUAAUACCGGAUAGGACGAUGGUUUGGAUGCCAUUGUGGAAAGUUUUUUCGGGGUGGGAUGAGCUCGCGGCCUAUCAGCUUGUUGGUGGGGUAAUGGCCUACCAAGGCGUCGACGGGUAGCCGGCCUGAGAGGGUGUACGGCCACAUUGGGACUGAGAUACGGCCCAGACUCCUACGGGAGGCAGCAGUGGGGAAUAUUGCACAAUGGGCGCAAGCCUGAUGCAGCGACGCCGCGUGGGGGAUGACGGCCUUCGGGUUGUAAACUCCUUUCGCUAGGGACGAAGCGCAAGUGACGGUACCUGGAGAAGAAGCACCGGCUAACUACGUG
rnacentral:rRNA from 1 species